rnacentral:tRNA from 1 species
AGCCUGAUGUUUCGGAAACAAUAGACCUUGAACGUCUAAAAAUGGUGUUCAACUCACCGUCAC